GGCCGCGUGGCCCAAUGGCAAGGCGUUUGACUUCGACAUUGCAGCCCGCACCAGAUGCGACUGCAAGAGGAAUCAAAAGAUUGUCGGUUCGAGCCCGGCCGUGGUCA